rnacentral:rRNA from 1 species
CACGUAGGGGACGAGCGUUGUCCGGAUUCAUUGGGCGUAAAGCGCGCGUAGGCGGCCCGGACAGUCGGAUGUGAAAACCUGGGGCUCAACCCCAGGCGUGCACCCGAUACUCCCGGGCUGGAGGCAGGUAGGGGAGAUCGGAAUUCCUGGUGUAGCGGUGAAAUGCGCAGAUAUCAGGAGGAACACCGGUGGCGAAGGCGGGUCUCUGGGCCGUAACUGACGCUGAGGAGCGAAAGCAUGGGGAGCGAACAGG